GAAAUGCGAUAAGUAAUGUGAAUUGCAGAAUUCAGUGAAUCAUCGAAUCUUUGAACGCACCUUGCGCUCCUUGGUAUUCCUUGGAGCAUGCCUGUUUGAGUAUCAUGAAAUCUUCAAAGUAAAUCUUUUGUUAACUCAAUUGGUUUCUACUUUGGUAUUGGAGGUCUUUGCAGCUUCACACCUGCUCCUCUUUGUUCAUUAGCUGGAUCUCAGUGUUAUGCUUGGUUCCACUCGGCGUGAUAAGUUAUCUAUCGCUGAGGACACUGUAAAAGGUGGCCAAGGUAAAUGCAGAUGAACCGCUUCUAAUAGUCCAUUGACUUGGACAAUACUUUUAUGAUCUGAUCUCAAAUCAGGUAGACUACCCGCUGAACUUAAGC
rnacentral:misc_RNA from 1 species